GCGACGCCCGAGGACCCGACGGAGCUACACCCGCUAGUUCAGCCAGGAGGCCCUGCGCGGCUCCGGGGAGAGCUGGGUGGUUAUGCCACCUCAUUAGACACAUUGGUGGACGAUGCCGCGGAUUAGCGGGUUGGCUCUCAGGGCGGGGCGCAGGCUUUCUCACUGAUCCGGGAGCGUGGGAGCAGGGGCAACGCGGGGCCAUCCGGGAGCUGCCCGCCUGCUUCGCAGUUGGCUUUCCGGGCCCUCGAGCAACGUCUGACUUUGCCCUUUGUUUUUAAACACCAUGCAGGAUGGUUUGUGUACAAACGAAGCCGUGUCACUUCUCAAGUGUCGGUGCUCAACGUGGCAACGCCCCUCCCGCCCCCAGUACAGAGAUCCUGCCCAUCCACCGACAAUCCCCCUCCUCAUCUUCCUUCCCCCAGGUGCGAGUGAUUCAAGGAAAUCCGACUGGAGGGAACACACGCUGCGAUGCACCCUCUCCUCUUCCAUUGAGCCAGGGGUGACCUUGAGAGACUCAGGCCACCUCACCAGGCUCUACCAGGAACAGCGUCUACAGCUGGUAGAGAGCACGGGCUGCAGAGAGAAAUCAAUACAGAACUCUGGAACCCACUGCUUUAGAAGAUAAGAAUCUCUUUCCUGCUCCGAUCAUUCUGGCUUGCCUUGGAUUUAAGGCUCUUCCAGAAGGACCUGGCCCUGAUUCACUGGGAUAAUGUCCACCAUGUCCAGGGGCACUGCCCAGAGGGGGUACUUUUCAUAUUCUCUACCAACUAAUCUUCCACCUGCCAGCCUAGGGGGCAGUGAGUGGAGAACGCUGGGAAUUCAGGGUUGGGGAGGAGGGACAGCAACAGGAAAAGAUUGAACAUAUGUGCCAAUUAGGCCAGGAGAUGAGGACCCCAGACCCGGAAGAAGGAGGAAGAAGAAAGACACACUUGAUCUUCCUGCUUAGAAUGUUGGCAGAAGUCAUAUUCAAAAGAUAAGAGAAUCAAGACUUAUGAAACAAAAGAAAACCAAAGAAAGGCAACACGGCCGAUGCUAGGUGGGGAUUACUAGCUAGUAAAGAGCUGUCGAGUGUUUGAUGCCAUUUAUUCAUUUGAGCUCUCCAGUUGCCUAGUUUUUCAUUCAACAAGUGUCGUCUGAAGGUGUUGUGUGGACAGAACGUUGUGUGGGAUCCAAAGCUGAAACAGAUACUUAAGUCUGUGCUCUAGUAAAUAAGAUAGGACACGCAUAUUUACCCCACAGGGAGCAAUAAAUACUCUAAGACCAUUACAAAUUGUUCUGGGAGUUCAGAGGAGGGAAUUUAUUUCUAGUCCAGAGCAAUGAAGGGUGACCUCCUGGAGGAAGUGGCAGUUGAAUGGGGGCCUUGAAGGAUGGGUGAGAUUUAAACAUGCAAACUAUCAGCAAGGGAAACGGGAGAGCAACGCAGGAGCAAACAUCAAGAUGGGAAAACACAAAGCAUGUAGGGGAAACACAAAUGCAAUAUUUUGUAUUAUGGGCGAGGCUCUACAAGAGGCACUGGAUUGCAAUGGGACUAUUGUUUCCAGGGGCCCUCUGGGCUGGUGGUCAAACUACUGGAACUAUCACUAUUUCAGACCAAGCCGGGCUCACAAGUCUUAGCUGUUCUUGCCAAUUCUUCUCCUGAAUACUCACUCCAAUAAGAGCAGUCAGGAAAUGUUUCUUGGGAAAUAGCUUCAAAGACACCAACAUACCACUAUGAACACUUAAAAUAUGGAGACAGAGCAUUUGGAGUACUGCUCCCAGCAUGUUGGAGGGAAAAGAAGCAAGACCCUUCCCAGAGCCUUGAGACAAGAGUUGUGUCAACUGUGGAUGGCUGUGCCCCAGUCACUUGAGAGACAUGAAUCAAUUUCCAGCUGCAUUUAUCACUUGCUGCCUUAAAUCAAGUCUAAUCAAUGCUUCCUUCAUUUGGUAUGGAUUGAAACUAUAUAUAACACACUCAGAAAACAGGAGAGAAAAGCAGCAGAUCACAAAAAUUCCAUCAGGGAUUUAGAUGGAAUGAUGUUAGAGAAACAUUUGCAAUCUUUCAUUUGCUCUAAUGGAGACCCCUGACCAAACAAUCAGAGAUUUGCGUUUAUGAAGCUUCAUUUGAAUUUACCUGACAUGCAAUGACAUUCCAUGACAGGUCAUUUGAUACAUUGGGGGGGGGGGGUGGUUUCUGCAUCUUUAAGGAUUUUAUAAUUAAUACACUCUUAGGAUCUGAUGUAUAUUUAUAAUUUUAUUCCUAUACUAAGUUUUAAACUCAUUUCCAUUUAUUUUAGAGAUAUCUGUUUUGUCAUCAUUGACUAUAUAAGUCAAUUUCCAGUUAUAACAUAUAAAGUAAUAAAAAUCCCUUUGUAACAAAGUAGAU
rnacentral:lncRNA from 10 species